GGGGGGGGGGGGGGGGGGGGGGGGGGGGGGGGGGGGGGGGGGGGGGGGGGGGGGGGGGGGGGGGGGGGGCCUGACCGGCACCUAAAGACCUCAGACCGGCACUCACCGACCUCUGAGCGGCACCCACGGACCCCAAACCGGCACCUAGGGAUCCCUGACCAGAACCUACAGACCCCUGACCGGCACCUUUGGACCCCUGACCGGCACUCACGAAUCCCACACCGGCACUCACGUCCUGACCGGCACCUACCGACCCCAGACCGGCACCUAUGGACCCCUGACCGGCACCUUAGGACCCCAUACCGGCACUCACGGACCCCUGACUGGCACCUAAAGACCCCACACCGGCACUCACGGACCCCACACCGGCACUCACGGACUCCACAGAACCCGGAUUGCAUCCAUGGACCCCUGGCGGCACCCACGGAGCCCAGACCUGCACCCCCAGACCACCCCAAACCUGCACCCGCAGCCCCCACGGAACAGCCUCGGCUCCCGGAGCAGCUCCGGUGUGAGCAACGCCGGCUGGAAGGAGACCUGGGCAGCGAAGCUGGCGUGGAGCUGGGACGUGUAAAGCACACGGCCGAGGAGCCUCAAGUCCGCCCCAUCGCUGGGAGAUUGGCCGAGGGCUCCAGACCUGAGGAUGGACACAAUGAACGCAGCCCUGCGUGUGCUGCGCUUUCAUGGGUUUAUUUCCAUGGCACAACUCCCUCUCCCGCUGCUCGGGGGAUUAGGAGGAAGGGGCUGCGACCGUCGGGGUCAGGCUGGGGGGCUGUGUGAUCACCUGUGCAGCAGCACCUGUGCAGCAGCACCCGUGCAGCAACACCUGGCACUGCCCCAGGACACCAAGAGCCAGAAACAAGUGGAUGGAUGAAGGCUGGACACACAGCAGCAUCGCCAGUGGGAAUCACGGGCUGAGACACGGAUCUGCCAUCCAGUGACACCACCACGGCACAGGACAGGCUGAGGAGGAUGUGCAGAGCACUGGGAUACAGCACGGGCAGGAUGUGGCACAACCUGAAUUACUGCACGGCUGGGAUAUGGCAAAGCUGGGAUAGGGCAAGGCCUGGGAUACGGCAAGGCCAGGAUUCGGCACAGAGUGGAUAUGGCACGGUCAGGAUGCAGCACGGAUGGGCUACAGCAAGGCCAGGAUUCGGCACAGAGUGGAUAUGGCACGGUCAGGAUGCAGCACAGAUGGGAUACGGCAAGGCCAAGGCACAGCAGGGACGUGGCACAGCCUGGCAGGAGCGAGGCCUCACUCACAGUGUGACAGGGAGCACUCCCAACACCACCUUCACCAAUUCCCUGCAGCGGGAUUUCCCCUCCUCACACACCUCCCCACUCCCAAACCCCUGGGAAUCAUUUCCCCCAAAUGUGCGCUGUGGUUUGGGGUUGCUCUGCCUGGCUCUUGCCGGGCACUGGGAUUGUUUCCCUUUCCGUGACCUUGCAGAGAAACCAGUUUGGGUUAAAACCGGGCUAAACCCCAAUCCAGCUGCACAGCGUUCGCUCCAGCUCAGCUGGGCUGAGCCCAAGUUUGGAACCCUGUGGGUCGGAUUCCCCCCAUGUGGCCCCAGUGACUGUCCCGGUGGCCCUGUCCAGGGCCAGGGACACAACCACCCACCACCCUCCCCAGCCCAGAAGGAGUUUGGAGCCUCGGGAUGUGCCCAGGGAAGGAAUUCAGCCGGGAGCCGCAUCCCCAGGCUGGAGGCUGAGCUGGGGGCGGUGGAUGGGGCAGGAUCGGAGUUUCUAUCCAUGGCUCUGACCCUGUCCCUGUCCCCCCUCAGCUCUGAUAGCCCCCACAGCCCCUCAGGUCCCAGCCCCUCAAUCCUUGUGUCCCCUCAUGUCCCAGCCCCUCAAUCCUCGUGUCCCCUCAAUCCUUGUGUCCCCUCAUGUCCUAGCCCCUCAAUCCUUGUGUCCCUUCAGUCCCUUGUGUCCCCUCAGGUCCCAGUCCCCUCAAUCCUCGUGUCCCCUCAAUCCUUGAGUCCCCUCAUGUCCCAGCCCCCUCAGUCCUCGUGUCCUCCCAGUCCUUGUGUCCCCUCAUGUCCCAGAAUCCCCAAUCCUUGUGUCCCCUCAGCCCCUGUGUCCCCUCAUGUCCCACUCCCCGCUCCUUGUCCCCAUCCCCGUCCCCCCCCGCCCCUCAGGCCGGGGGGGGGG
rnacentral:lncRNA from 12 species